rnacentral:sRNA from 1 species
CGUUGCGUCAGCAACGGCCCGAAGGGCGAGGCAAAGCCGAGUCAUCCUGCACGACCUACCA